rnacentral:misc_RNA from 1 species
CCCCUAUGUAUAUUCUCUUUCGCUUCAUUGUAAAAGGGGGAAAUUUUUUUCGGUGACAGAAAACUUUACUUGGUGAAUAGUUGAAAUUUGAGAGGAAAAUAUAGUAAACUAUCAGCUGCAAUUAUUUGAGGAUAAGUUCUCAGAAGCAAAAAUAAAAAAAAAAGUGAGAGUUUAGGCCUUGUUUGAGUGCCUUGCUUGUUUCUUCGUUCACCGGGGUUUUCUUUGAGUCGUCGGAAGUUGGCGCUUUCAAAGCUGGUUAGAUAUCCCUGUUUUGCUCGUUUGACUAUCGACUGUGUGAGUUGCUUGUGUUAAUUUUUUACUCACUAUUAGCUGCAAAGCAGUAACCAAUCUGCCUAUUAGCCCAUGAGGUUGUGUGUUUACGUCCUCGUUGAAAUUUUGAUGUUUCAUUUGGCCCCGAACCCUUGCUUGUGCACUACUUUAAUCUUCUUAUUUCCUUACUGUCUCAACUAGUUACUUGUGAAGGCUAUGGAUCAGUAAUGAUUUCAUGAUCUACAUUUCAAAAAUGUGUGUCUCUGUUGUUUACUUUGGUCUAGUUGAUAUUUUCUAAGGAGGUCAAAACCAUGCUUAUUUGUCGUUAAUUCGAUUCCUUUGGCUACAUUUUCGUAUUUGAUGCUUAGAGGCUGAAUGAAUUUGAAACAUCUCUGUAAAUUCGUGUAAGUUCAGUUUGUUUGAGAUCAUUCUUCAUUUUGAUAGGAACUUUGUUCGAGUCGGGAUUAACUCUGUUUUGCUCGAAAGUUGCUUAUUAUUUGUAGUCAGCUCCUUGAAAUAUCGUGAAACUUAUCCGAAAUGGACAUUUGUUUCCCUCUUCUGUUUGUCUUGGUUCAAUUUGCUCUAUAAGUAUGUUGGCCAGCUCUAGUGCUCGAUUAGAAGCUCUUAAAAUGGCAUACUGUCAUCCCUAGAUUAGAAAUCGCAACUUCGGUUUGGAUCAUAAGUAUCUAUUAAUUGUUUGAUAUAUUGAGGCGUAGAAACCUUUUUUGGAGGAUGUUGUCAGUUAAAAUACCAAUAGUUUUCCAACCUUUGGUCUACAUUUGAAGAUACCUAUCUUAGUUUUAGUUGCCAUCUUUCUCGGCUACUUAUAUGGUGUCUUUGCUUAAUAAUGAUCUCCUUGCAUUCUAUACUUUAUUUCAUGUCUAUUUGCAUUUAUGCAUAACAUGUUCGCUCGGAGGAAUAAACUCCUUUGGUUUUGAUUAUUCAUAGUCAUAUUUUACUUCCUUUUAUAAUGGUUUGGGAAAGAAAAAAAAAAGAUCUUACUAGUUUUCUCUUUGUUUAAAAGGUUGGAUUUAGCAAUGUCAGAUCUCACCGAAUGAAUUAUCUUGACUUUGGCAUGAGGUGUUCCAUUGGAAUAAAUAUGCAGCAUGUUUUCUGUUAAUACAUUUGAGUUGAAUUAUCUAUAUGUUCCCUGAACAUGGUAUGUUCUUAAGUAUGCAUACACGCACAAUACAUGCUACUGUCUAGAGAGUUUUUUAUUUUUUUAAAGAUUUUGUUUGUGCUAUUCACUUGGUCUUCCUUAGAGUCAUGUAUUUUAGCCUCAUUCAAAUCCCUUAAGUAGCUUUCCUUUAUUUUUAAAAGUAAUAUCUGCUUUCUUUUAAUAUAUAUCUUGUUUCUUAUAUUAUUUCAUAUGCUAACCCAUUUCUAUUUUAUCGCAUGUAAAAA